UUAUAUGAAUCUUACACAUCUUACACAUGGCUUAAUAUAAUUCUUUGCAUGUCUCAUGGCUGGUUUUGAGAUUGCUGGUUUAAAGAAACAAUUGGCACAAGUAGUUUAUGGAAACAAUUGUGGUUUUAUUAUUUCUUCCCCAGUGUUUUUUCAUUUGUCAAGUUUUUCUCUCUCCCCCCCCCCCCCUCUCUCUCGUACGCUCUCACUCUUUCUCCUCACACUUUCAUCUCUCUUUCUCCUCCCCAUCUCAUCCUUCACCAUAACAUCCACACCACACCCUCCACCACCAUCUACAAAUCAAUCACUCGUAAGAGUGAGGGAGUGGCCGAGUGAGAGAAGCCGGCGGGAGAGAAGUUCUUGUGGCCGUUUGUGGUGACACGGCGGUGCUUGGCAACGGCGGCAAUGAAGCUUCUUGCUCCUUCUUUCUCCUGGUUUGAUCUCAAAUUGCUCCAUAGAAGGAUAAGGCUCCUCCAUGAAAUUUGAUCUUUGGAUGUCAAUAAACUCAGGUGACUAGAAAAAUCACUAUGACCACAAUUUCAGAAAGAGAUGAAUGAUGGUUGGGUUGGUUUGGAAAAGGCACCUGAUGGAUCUUUCAAGAAGAAGAUUCUGGAUUAGGGGUAUGGCUUUUGUCUAGGGUUAAGCCAUCAGAGAUUUUUUUGAAAUCUAUAUCAAAGGAAGUUACUGGUGUUGAAGUCAUUUACCCAUCAAGGGUAAGGGAAUGAGUAUUUUCCGUAAGAGAAGGAACAAAUGUGAAACAGUACCAAGUAGAUAAGUAAGGUAUUGGAUGCCACCCUUGAAGAUUUGGAGUUUUCUAAUAAACACUGAAAGGAGAAGGAACUUUCAUAUAGAGUUGUGGUCAUGGGAUGAAGAAGCAAGAUCUCAUUUCAUCUAUUCUUUCUACAAAUGCCGAAUUAUGGACACAUCUAUCAACUAUGAUUUUGGAUAGAACUGGUUUAUGUAUCAAGAUUUCUUCAAAAGCUGAAUGUAAGGUCUUGGAUGCCACCCUUGAAGAUUUGGAGUAAGUGUGUUUAUCUAACUCAGUGCACUUUAUUCAAUCAUUUUUUGUAGUGUACUUAUCCACUUGGUUGUUUUUACAUUGAGAUUUUGAUAAUUUCCGAUUUUGUAGUUUUUUUUGUGUGUAGGUUUUGAUAUGUGAUUUCUUGAAUCCAUCAUGGGACAAGAGUGAGUAACAUGAAAUUUGAUUUGAGGGUAGUUUUGAUUCAGUUUCAAUUAUUGCUUUUGACAGUGUCGCUUCUACCGUCAAGUCCGCAGUUGAUAUUCAAACACCGGGUGAUCUUAUAACUCUUACUGCUGCAGCUGCAACAGCACACACAACAACGGCAGCAGAAUCUGCUUCACCAAUUGGAGCUAUAGGUGGUGCUGCUGAGUAAAGGAAAUAGACUAUAGGCGCUUUCGUAUGCUUUGAGUCUGUAUUAGGUGGUAGUUUAAUUAGUGUGAAUGAGAAUGUUAGCAAGUGAAGCUAUGGCUUUGAAGAGAUAUUAGUAGUUUAUUUAGAAGGAGCUUUAUCUUUGCAUAAGGAUUGACUAUUAACAGUAUUUUAUGGCCUACUCUUGACUUGUGUUAGUGUACUUUGGUCACUAGGAUGUACUUUUUAAUGUAUUGGUGUCUUUGUUUGAAAUAUUUGGUACUCUCUUAAUGAAAUAUAUCCGAUCUUCGGCUAA